rnacentral:lncRNA from 1 species
ACUCCCCAAGAGCAGGUAUGCCUUACCAAAUAGAACAGGCUUACCCCAGAUACUUUCUGAAUAUGGUAUGCCUUCCUUAAGGAUCUAGAACUACUUCAUGUUUUUUUAUAGAUUUCAGGUACAAUGUUCUAGAAUAUAAAGUAUUACAUGGUAGCUUUUGAUGCUUCCUUAACGAGAAGGCUGAAGUGUGUGUAGUGUUCUUCAACGCUAUGGGAUGAGCCUGAGGACACAUCAUGUGGGGAUAUUUGGUGAGGCAUGGAACAGGCUGACUAGGGAGGUGGUGCAGUCACCGUCCCUGGAAGCUUUCAAGAAAAGUACAGAUGUAGCACUGAGUGACAUGGUUUGGUGGACAUGGUGGUGACCAGUUGAUAGUUGGACUUGAUGACCAUAGUGGUCUUUUGCAAGUUUAAGGCGUCUAUGAUUUUAUGAUUCUAUUAUCUUGCUCCUGUUUCAAAGCAGCCUAAGCCAAAUGCCUUCAGCCAACUGUUGCUGCCAUUUGCCAUCAAAAAGGCAAGCAUGGUUUGGGAAGUCAGCCCAUUCUCUAUCUGUUGCCUGGUUGUGAAUAAAAUAACUGACUCCAGAUUAGGAAUUCAUGCAUUUUGGAAAGAGAAGGAUGCAGUUUGAGCAUUGGUGUAUUAUUUUAUAAGAAAAUUACAAUGGGCUUUGCAUAAUAUUUAGGAAAAACAGUUUUAAGAUAGACUGCAGAUAGCCUCAUAAUGCAUAAUUGAACUGUAAUAAAUAGAAAUCCUAUUAUUUGUUCCUAAUAGAGAUCAUUUAAGCUAAAUAAGAAUACGAUUCAUUUUUUUG